CAAGGUGAUAGGAUAGGUAGGUGAUGGGUUAUAAAUGCAUGUGCCACUUUCCACCAUUUAACAGGAAAAAGAAAAGGAGGAAAAAGUUACCCAGUGAUUUAUGGUGCGUAAACAAAGCUUAUUCUUUGCAGAUGAUUCCUUCCUUGUUGGCUUUUUAUAAUUUAGCUUUAUUUCAACUUGACGAUGCUCGUGAACCAUGAGAUAGCUCAGACAUCACCACUUUCGGAAGUAUUUCGCAGACAAAAUGAGCGCAUGACACUCAUUUGGAAUGAUCGAAAACAACUUAAUUUUCUAGCCAUCUAGCCAGCUACCGCACACUGUGGCACUCACUGACUGGUACUACUGAUGAACUCUUUUUGUCAGCUUUUAAAGUUAGCUAAGCUAGCUUUAGUGAUGUUCACAUUCAAACUCUUUUCAUUUCCAUUAUAAUAUAUUUUUUCGUCUUUUCAUCUUUUUCGUCCUUUUAUGCUGUUCAUCUUCAUCUUCUUCUUCCUUUCCUUUUGACAUAACUAGAAAAAAGACCAAUCUAUGUUGCAGGGACACACUUUCAUACUGAAAUAAAUUUGUGACUGGUUUAAAGGCACUUACUACAAGGACACCAUGCUGUAUCAAGACUGGCUGUCUCUUUGUGUCACC
rnacentral:lncRNA from 1 species